rnacentral:rRNA from 1 species
CGAAUGCUGACAUAAGUAACGAUAAAGCGGGUGAAAAGCCCGCUCGCCGGAAGACCAAGGGUUCCUGUCCAACGUUAAUCGGGGCAGGGUGAGUCGACCCCUAAGGCGAGGCCGAAAGGCGUAGUCGAUGGGAAACAGGUUAAUAUUCCUGUACUUGGUGUUACUGCGAAGGGGGGACGGAGAAGGCUAUGUUGGCCGGGCGACGGUUGUCCCGGUUUAAGCGUGUAGGCUGGUUUUCCAGGCAAAUCCGGAAAAUCAAGGCUGAGGCGUGAU